rnacentral:rRNA from 1 species
UACGGAGGAGGCAAGCGUUAUCCGGAAUUAUUGGGCGUAAAGCGUCCGCAGGUGGCCCUUCAAGUCUGCUGUCAAAGACCGGGGCUUAACUUCGGAAAGGCAGUGGAAACUGAACAGCUAGAGUAUGGUAGGGGCAGAGGGAAUUCCUGGUGUAGCGGUGAAAUGCGUAGAGAUCAGGAAGAACAUCGGUGGCGAAGGCGCUCUGCUGGACCAUAACUGACACUCAGGGACGAAAGCUAGGGGAGCGAAUGGG